rnacentral:rRNA from 1 species
CCUACGGGUGGCAGCAGUGGGGAAUAUUGGGCAAUGGGCGCAAGCCUGACCCAGCAACGCCGCGUGAAGGAAGAAGGCCUUCCGGUUGUAAACUUCUUUUAAGAGGGAAGAGCAGAAGACGGUACCUCUUGAAUAAGCCACGGCUAACUACGGGCCCGCAGCCGCGGUAAUACGUAGGUGGCCAGCGUUGUCCGGAUUUACUGGGGGUAAAGGGCGUGUAGCCGGGCUGACAAGUCAGAGGUGAAAUCCGGGGGCUCAACCCCCGAACUGCAUUUGAAACUGUUGGUCUUGAGGAUCUGAGAGGCAGGCGGAAUUCCUAGUGUAGCGGUGAAAUGCGUAGAUAUUAGGAGGAACACCAGUGGCGAAGGCGGCCUGCUGGACGACAACUGACGGUGAGGCGCGAAAGCGUGGGGAGCAAACAGGAUUAGAUACCCUUGUAGUC